rnacentral:rRNA from 1 species
AUACGGAGGGUCCAAGCGUUAUCCGGAAUCACUGGGUUUAAAGGGUGCGUAGGCGGCCUGGUAAGUCAGAGGUGAAAUACACGAGCUUAACUGGUGAAUUGCCUUUGAAACUAUCAAGCUAGAAUUAUGUUGAGGUCAGCGGAAUGAGUCAUGUAGCGGUGAAAUGCAUAGAUAUGACUUAGAACACCAAUUGCGUAGGCAGCUGGCUAGGCAUUAAUUGACGCUGAGGCACGAAAGCGUGGGGAGCGAACAGGAUUAGAAACCCUAGUAGUCC